UGGCGGCAAGCUUAACACAUGCAAGUCGAACGGAUUGUCUUUGUAGCUUGCUACGAAGAUAAUUAGUGGCAGACGGGUGAGUAAUGCAUAGGAAUCUACCUAGUAGUAUAGGAUAGCCACUAGAAAUGGUGGGUAAUACUGUAUAAUCCCUGCGGGGGAAAGAUUUAUCGCUACAUGAUGAGCCUAUGUUAGAUUAGCUAGUUGGUAGGGUAAAGGCCUACCAAGGCGAUGAUCUAUAGCUGGUCUGAGAGGAUGAUCAGCCACACUGGAACUGAGAUACGGUCCAGACUCCUACGGGAGGCAGCAGUGGGGAAUAUUGGACAAUGGGCGCAAGCCUGAUCCAGCUAUGCCGCGUGAGUGAGGAAG
rnacentral:rRNA from 1 species